rnacentral:rRNA from 1 species
UACGUAGGGUGCGAGCGUUAAUCGGAAUUACUGGGCGUAAAGCGUGCGCAGGCGGUUCGUUAAGUCAGAUGUGAAAGCCCCGGGCUCAACCUGGGAACUGCAUUUGAAACUGGCGGGCUUGAGUGCGGCAGAGGGGGGUGGAAUUCCCGGUGUAGCGGUGAAAUGCGCAGAUAUCGGGAGGAACACCAGUAGCGAAGGCGGCUCGCUGGGCCAUUCCUGACGCUGAGACGCGAAAGCUAGGGGAGCGAACAGG